rnacentral:rRNA from 1 species
GAUGAACGCUGGCGGCGUGCCUAAUACAUGCAAGUAGAACGCUGAAGGAGGAGCUUGCUCUUCUGGAUGAGUUGCGAACGGGUGAGUAACGCGUAGGUAACCUGCCUGGUAGCGGGGGAUAACUAUUGGAAACGAUAGCUAAUACCGCAUGACAACAGUUAUUGCAUGAUAACUGUUUAAAAGGGGCAACUGCUCCACUACCAGAUGGACCUGCGUUGUAUUAGCUAGUUGGUGAGGUAACGGCUCACCAAGGCGACGAUACAUAGCCGACCUGAGAGGGGGAUCGGCCACACUGGGACUGAGACACGGCCCAGACUCCUACGGGAGGCAGCAGUAGGGAAUCUUCGGCAAUGGACGGAAGUCUGACCGAGCAACGCCGCGUGAGUGAAGAAGGUUGUCGGAUCGUAAAGCUCUGUUGUAAGAGAAGAGCGAGUGUGAGAGUGGAAAGUUCACACUGUGACGGUACCUGACCAGAAAGGGACGGCUAACUACGUG